AAGAAUUUAAUGAGUGCACUUCAUUGUGGCUCGACAUUUUCUACCAUUCACCCUAGUGCACCGUAAUACCUUUUUUUAUUAGACUCUACAAAGUUAAUGAAUGUAACACUUUUUUAUAAAGAAAUA
rnacentral:misc_RNA from 1 species